AAAUUACAUAAAACCCCUUGUCAAUACCCACUUUUCACUUUCCCUCGUCAUUUAAAAACCUACACUUUGCCCCCUUGUAAAAUAAAAAAUGUUCACAGGGGGGUACAGUGUUAACUGUGAUGACAAAAUGACCAUUUUGUCCUCGCCAUCUUCGUCUCCUCCCUAUUUUUGCUCAUCUGCCGUCUUUCCUCUUCUAUUUUUCGCACCUCAAUCCGCCACAAUUCGUCUCUAUUUUUUUCUGCUCCUCCCCUUUUCCUCUUACACCCUCAUCACCCCUCGAUUUCGGCAACAAUAG
rnacentral:lncRNA from 1 species